ACUUGUCUCCGGAAAUAUUAUACCCACACAAGUUGUCAACAUCCGUUUUUAAACUGGUCAAGGUGUUCUUCACGAUCUCCAUGGAAAAUAUUCACGCUUUCACUUUUUGCUCAGAUAAUAGAACAUUGUAAAUCUCUAACUGAAAAUACGGACCCAUAUGAAUCAAAUUCGAAAGCACGAUAGAGAAAGAUGUUCACUAUGAAUCAAAAAUUCAAAACAGAGGACUUUUAUAUAUCAACAAAAACAAUUGCAGUACAUGCACAUAUACAUGUAUAAAAGUACACUGUCAGCAUGGUCAGAAGAAGAAUUUUACUGGAGGAUUAAAAUUUUGAUACCUGGAAUCAGUAAUGAAUAUGAAAAUGAAAAUGAUAUAUAUUCAUGUACAGAAUGGUAACCGAGGUGGUUCAAUUGUUUUAUUAGCAGACAUUUUUGUUGAACUUAUGCAGGAUUGAAUAAAUGAAACUUAAGCUGACUAUGGGCUCAAUGUGUAGUAAAAAGAGGAUUUUGAAAUAUAUGCAAGAUUCAUCAACAUUACAAUGUGCACAAGUGAAAUAUCACCUUAUUUAGUAAAAAAAAAAAUCAGAUUAUUGACUCAGUUGUUUUCAUGAAAAAAAAGUUUCAAAGCAAUA